GAUGAACGCUGGCGGCGUGCCUAAUACAUGCAAGUCGAGCGAACAGACGAGGAGCUUGCUCCUCUGACGUUAGCGGCGGACGGGUGAGUAACACGUGGAUAACCUACCUAUAAGACUGGGAUAACUUCGGGAAACCGGAGCUAAUACCGGAUAAUAUAUUGAACCGCAUGGUUCAAUAGUGAAAGACGGUUUUGCUGUCACUUAUAGAUGGAUCCGCGCCGCAUUAGCUAGUUGGUAAGGUAACGGCUUACCAAGGCGACGAUGCGUAGCCGACCUGAGAGGGGGAUCGGCCACACUGGAACUGAGACACGGUCCAGACUCCUACGGGAGGCAGCAGCAGGGAAUCUUCCGCAAUGGGCGAAAGCCUGACGGAGCAACGCCGCGUGAGUGAUGAAGGUCUUCGGAUCGUAAAACUCUGUUAUUAGGGAAGAACAAAUGUGUAAGUAACUAUGCACGUCUUGACGGUACCUAAUCAGAAAGCCACGGCUAACUACGUG
rnacentral:rRNA from 1 species